CUAAUUUUCCUUGGAAUUUAUGUUCAUGUCAUCAAAACAGGGGCGAAAUAUACAAGAAGAACAGUAAAACUCAUAAAUCGACAAUAAACUGACAAAGCCGUGGCUAAAAAUGAAUAGAAAUAGACAAAUAACAGUACAUAAGAAACAACAUAGAAAACUAAAGACUGAACAACACGAACACCAUCAAAAACUUGGGGUGAUCUCAGGUGCUCCGGAAGGGUAAGCAGAUCCUGCUCCACAUGUGACACCCGUCGUGUUGCUCAUGUUAUUACAAAUCCGGUAAACAGUCGGAAGGUCACAUUCAUGAAAAGGGAAGGGGAUUGUAGUUAACGC
rnacentral:lncRNA from 1 species